rnacentral:tRNA from 1 species
GUGCUCAUAGCUCAGCUGGUUAGAGCGCCUGCCUGUGGAGCAGNNGGAUGUCGCGGGUUCAAAUCCCGUUGGGCACCCCA